CCGACAUUAACGGUUGCCCGAUUGCCCGGGGCAAGUAAAAAUCGCUGCAGGGCAAGUAGAACCUUCACACGCAUGCCCGGCUGGGCAAGUACCCACUUCGAUUUUUUUCUAUUGUCUAUUUUGUCUCCUAUGUCUCUCACACGAGGGGCCAGUUGCCGUGAGCUGCUCUUUAUUUAUGUGCUGUUGAUUUUGAUUGGGUGUCUCUGUUGACGUGCCGACCUCAGACGGUUCAGUCACGUGAGGUUACCGAACAUGACAGAGAGCUCGAGAGGGAAAUACGAAGCAGAAAAAAGAAAGAGAACUUUCCUGCCUUUGUGGAAGGACAUUUAUUCGUGGGUAGAAUAUGACGAAAAACUGCCAGGUAUGUUUUGCACGGUCUGUAGAGAGUUCCCAACCAAAGCCGACAGAAAAGGAUCUUUUUUCCGCGGAAACGACAGCUACAGAAGACAGAACUUGGAGAGCCAUGCUAAAUCCGUUUCACACUUGUCUUGUGUUGAGGCAAAAAGACGCCGGACUGUUCCCGGACUGAUGGACCAUUGUGUCCAAAAACUGUAUGCGGAUAGCCACAACCAGAUAAAAAAAAUGUCUUACCACUGCUUAUCAUGUCGCUAAAACGGAGCAGCCAUUCGCGCAGUAUACAUCUCUUUUAAAUCUCCAGGCGACAAAUGGUGUUGACGUCGGGUCAAGAUACGGGACCAAUCAAGCAUGCCGAAGGUGAGUGAUUGUCUAACUGUCAUGUUAACUGUUACCUCAACUUUUUACCUUAUGUCCUCAGACUUAAUUGCACAGCCACAGAGCUACAAGCUAACUUUAAAUGCUAAAUGCAGCAGGACAAGAGACACGGUCAUGCGACAGAGUGCAUUAGGUGUUUUUCUAACAUUGACUACGGUACUUAUUUGCUAUAUCGAUUCCAGAUUCAUUAGAGUCAUCUAUGAUGACAUCUGGGAGCCCAGCUUUAACCAAAUUAAGGCAGCCAAAUUCAUCAGUGUUCUGGCUGAUGCUGCUACGGAUGUCAGUGUGAGGGGCCUGGAGGGGAUUUACGUAAGGUUAAUGAAAGACGGACAGCCAAACAACGUCUUUGUAGCUGUGGAAGAAUUAAAACAUGCCACUGCUACAGGACACUGUGAGGCCAUUAACUGUGCCCUACAGAAAGCUGGACUACAUGACUGGAAGAUGAAAACGGUUGGCUUUGGGUCUGAUGGGGCUGCUGUGAUGGUGGGACGACAUGGGGGAGUGUCAGCCCUUCUGCGACAAGAGAUUCUGGUUAACAUUCAGUGCCUUGGUCAUGGAUAGGAACUGGCAGCGAUGGAUACCAUCAACCAACAUGCCAACAUGAAGAAAGUAACUGACCUACUGCAGGGCCUGUACAAGCAAUACCACUAUUCACCCAAGGCCUGGAGGGAGUUAUGUGAAUUAGCAGAGGUCCUCGAGAUGAAGAUCUGGAAGUCGACAAAUCUUAGAGGGACAAGAUGGCUCCCCCACAUUGAAAAAGCCCUCAAUACCUUGAUGAAAGACUACAUUCCAGUCCUGACCCACAUGGAGAAUACACUUGAAACAAGAUCAGCCAGUGCCGACAUACUUGGAAGAGCCAGGCAGUGCAUACAAGUGCUGAAGGACUACAGACAGCUGCUGUUUGUGGUGUUAGUGUAAGAUAUUCUGCAUGUUCUGAGUUGUCUAAGCUUGAAGCUACAGGAGGAUGGGGUGACCUUGCCCAGUGCCUUACAUGCAUUUGAAACAGCACUACCGUCAUUGACAAGCAUGGCCACAUCCCCAGGAGAGUUCCUAGAGCGCUUCUUGGAGGACACAGAGGAUGGACAAUUCCACUCUGUGCCCCUCUUCAACUUUAGUCAGGAGAGCAGAGAUAGGUUUGACAGGUCUAAAACAAACGAUUCUUCUGUCAUCCCACUUAUGUUUGUAUGUUUGUUGUUGCAAGAACUUUGAUUGUUCUUAUUCAUACAUUCUUACUCAUAAGGCUAUUAGACAGGUCAAAGCAAUGUUUUCCUCUGAUUUCAUUCAAAUGGCCUGUUCUCCUCCAUUCCCAACUCAAAUUAUGUCAUUCAUUUUAUGUCACAGAAUGAAGAAUGAACUGCUGGACACAGUCCAUGAAAGUCUGCGAUGUGGAGUCUGAUGAAGUCUUGAAGGCAGCUUCCAAUCUUGCAGAUCCAAGAGAGUGGCCCUCAGACAAGCAGGACUUGGCCCACUAUGGCAGUGACUUCCUCCAUACACUCACUGGCCACUUUGCUGAAAUACUGGACCGCAGUGGCUG